UACCAAAAACAUAGGUUUCUGCUAAGUCGCAAGACGAUGAAUAGGAGCUGACGCCUGCCCGGUGCUGGAAGGUUAAGGGGAUCUGUUAGAGCAAUCGAAGCAGUGACCUUAAGCCCCAGUAAACGGCGGCCGUAACUAUAACGGUCCUAAGGUAGCGAAAUUCCUUGUCGGGUAAGUUCCGACCCGCACGAAAGGCGUAACGAUUUGGGCACUG
rnacentral:rRNA from 1 species